rnacentral:lncRNA from 1 species
AAUCUGGAUCUCGUGAAGCCUUAAUUAUCUCGAGCGCGCUUAAUAGUCCGGUGUUGCGAUCAGAGAUGAUGCAAACCCCUUCCCGAUCUUUGAUGACCCCCAUCUUCAGGCAACACAGGAACCACAGCCAACUAUGUUUGUUUUCGCUCUCGACUAGUGCAAAGGCAAUAGGAAGAAGUUGAUUGUUUGCAUCAGUUGCCAUCGCCACUAAGAGUGUGCCCUUGUACUUUCGAGUGAGAAAUGUACCAUCAAUUGAUACAACCGGACGACAAUGCUUGAAUGCUUGUAUAGUCUGGG